UUUUUUGCCUCGUCUUGGGGUCUCUCUUGUCUCUCUUGUCUCUCUCUCUCUCUCUCUCUCUCUCUCUCUCUCUCCUUCUUCUCUCGGACUCGUCGCUGCUACCGCUCGAGCUACUGCUUCUUCCUCUAGCCCGUCUGGGUGCUGCACGAGGCGAAGCCGCAGUUGCUGUCGCAGUCCCCGCUGGAGCGCGGCGGCGUGGGGCAGGUCCGGUGGUAGGUAUUCCUCUGGUUCAAGACCCUGCUGUUCUUCUCCAAGCCCUGGCUCCGGUAGAUGCCCAGGCGGAAGUUGUAGGCGUUCCUAGACCUGCGUGUUUAGGAGAGGUCCAAGGUUUCCGGGGGUCCACGUAACGGUAGUAGCUACGAUCCUAUACUCCGUUACUGUCCAAGGAACCUACUAAAACCUAAACUUCUAAUGGAAUUGAACGGGGUCCUGAGACUGUCGGACGCGUAUGGCCUGUACGUGGUGCCCUACCUCCAAGCCGAACCGGACAGCUUCCCCGGACAGACGGGGUCGAAGUCAACUAAGGAAGGUGGGUACAUAAACAGAACACGAAGGGCAGGUCGUAGAUACCGUCAAAGUACCUAACCACUUUGCACUCUUCAUUUAUUUACCCAUAACGUAGUCAAACUUAAAGAACUUUACAGGGGCCGCAGGACCAGCGAUCAACUCGCAAUGAAUGAUAAGAACGAUCAAACCACAAAAUCGUCGUUUCAAGCAAUCGCGGGGUGAUUAUAGUCACCACUGGGGAGAUCCGUAAUUCCCCCCUACCACACAGCUGCUCCCUUCGAACCACCAACGACGACAAGAAGCCUCCACAGGCGGGUAGCUCUGCGCCGCUCUAAAAGCUAAACCCCAUGCGAGAAAGCGCAACAUCAACUCAACACAACAACCCUGUGCCGCUGGGUACACAGUCACCGGGUUACAAUCCACCGGCAUGCAGUCCCCUAGGCCGAGGAACGACAACUACCGACAGAAACCUGAUCGACCUACACCUCCACUACGAUACGAGAAACAAGCGUCACUCACUAUCAACAGAAUAUGAACGUUAAGAGAAA
rnacentral:rRNA from 1 species